GACGAACGCUGGCGGCGUGCUUAACACAUGCCAGUCGAACGGAAAGGCCCUGCUUGCAGGGUGCUCGAGUGGCGAACGGGUGAGUAACACGUGGGUGAUCUGCCCCUUACUUUGGGAUAAGUCUGGGAAACUGGGUCUAAUACUGGAUAGGACCAUGCUGUAGGUGGUGUGGUGGAAAGAUUAGUUUCGGUAAGGGAUGAGCUCGCGGCCUAUCAGCUUGUUGGUGGGGUAAUGGCCUACCAAGGCGUCGACGGGUAGCCGGCCUGAGAGGGUGGACGGCCACAUUGGGACUGAGAUACGGCCCAGACUCCUACGGGAGGCAGCAGUGGGGAAUAUUGCACAAUGGGCGCAAGCCUGAUGCAGCGACGCCGCGUGGGGGAUGACGGCCUUCGGGUUGUAAACCCCUUUCAGCCAUGACGAAGCCCUUGUGGUGACGGUAGUGGUAGAAGAAGCACCGGCUAACUACGUG
rnacentral:rRNA from 1 species